CCUACGGGAGGCAGCAGUGAGGAAUAUUGGUCAAUGGGCGAGAGCCUGAACCAGCCAAGUCGCGUGAGGGAGUACUGCCCUAUGGGUUGUAAACCUCUUUUGUCGGGGAGCAAAAGCCGGACGUGUCCGGCUGUGAGAGUAACCGAAGAAACAGCAUCGGCUAACUCCGUGCCAGCAGCCGCGGUCAUACGGAGGAUGCGAGGGUUUACCGGUUUUAUUGGGUUUAAGGGGUGAGCAGGCGGAUUUUUAAGUCAGCGGUCAAAGCGUGGGGCUCAACCCCAGCCCGCCGUUGAAACUGGGGAUCUAGAGUGUGCGAGAGGUAUGCGGAAUGCGUGGUGUAGCGGUGAAAUGCAUAGAUAUCACGCAGAACCCCGAUUGCGAAGGCAGCAUACCGGUGCACAACUGACGCUCAGGCACGAAAGCGUGGGUAUCGAACAGGAUUAGAUACCCUUGUAGUC
rnacentral:rRNA from 1 species